UACAGAGGGUGCGAGCGUUAAUCGGAAUUACUGGGCGUAAAGGGCGCGUAGGCGGAUGUAUGUGAGUGAUGUGAAAGCCCCGGGCUCAACCUGGGAAUUGCAUUUGAGACUGCGUAGCUAGGGUGCGGAAGAGGGAAGCGGAAUUUCCGGUGUAGCGGUGAAAUGCGUAGAUAUCGGAAGGAACACCAGUGGCGAAAGCGGCUUCCUGGUCCAGCACCGACGUUCAGGCACGAAAGCGUGGGGAGCAAACAGG
rnacentral:rRNA from 1 species